rnacentral:rRNA from 1 species
UACGUAGGGUGCAAGCGUUGUCCGGAAUUAUUGGGCGUAAAGAGCUCGUAGGCGGUCUGUUGCGUCGGCUGUGAAAACCCGAGGCUCAACCUCGGGCCUGCAGUGGGUACGGGCAGACUAGAGUGCGGUAGGGGAGAUUGGAAUUCCUGGUGUAGCGGUGGAAUGCGCAGAUAUCAGGAGGAACACCAAUGGCGAAGGCAGAUCUCUGGGCCGUAACUGACGCUGAGGAGCGAAAGCAUGGGGAGCGAACAGG